AGUGAACGCUGGCGGUAGGCCUAACACAUGCAAGUCGAACGGCAGCACAGUAAGAGCUUGCUCUUACGGGUGGCGAGUGGCGGACGGGUGAGGCAUACAUCGGAAUCUACUUUUUCGUGGGGGAUAACGUAGGGAAACUUACGCUACUACCGCAUACGACCUACGGGUGAAAGCAGGGGAUCUUCGGACCUUGCGCGAUUGUAUGAGCCGAUGUCGGAUCAGCUAGUUGGGUGGGUAAAGGCCCACCAAGGCGACGAUGCGUAGCUGGUCUGAGAGGAUGAUCAGCCACACUGGAACUGAGACACGGUCCAGACUCCUACGGGAGGCAGCAGUGGGGAAUAUUGGACAAUGGGCGAAAGCCUGAUCCAGCCAUACCGCGUGGGUGAAGAAGGCCUUCGGGUUGUAAAGCCCUUUUGUUGGGAAAGAAAAGCAGCAGGUGAAUACCCCGCUGUUCUGACGGUACCCAAAGAAUAAGCACCGGCUAACUUCGUG
rnacentral:rRNA from 1 species